rnacentral:rRNA from 1 species
AUUGAACGCUGGCGGCAGGCCUAACACAUGCAAGUCGAGCGGAUGAAGGGAGCUUGCUCCUGGAUUCAGCGGCGGACGGGUGAGUAAUGCCUAGGAAUCUGCCUGGUAGUGGGGGAUAACGUCCGGAAACGGGCGCUAAUACCCCAUCCGUCCUGAGGUAGAAAGUGGGGGAUCUUCGGACCUCACGCUAUCAGAUGAGCCUAGGUCGGAUUAGCUAGUUGGUGGGGUAAAGGCCUACCAAGGCGACGAUCCGUAACUGGUCUGAGAGGAUGAUCAGUCACACUGGAACUGAGACACGGUCCAGACUCCUACGGGAGGCAGCAGUGGGGAAUAUUGGACAAUGGGCGAAAGCCUGAUCCAGCCAUGCCGCGUGUGUGAAGAAGGUCUUCGGAUUGUAAAGCACUUUAAGUUGGGAGGAAGGGCAGUAAGUGAAUACCUUGCUGUUUUGACGUUACCAACAGAAUAAGCACCGGCUAACUUCGUG